UAGGCUUCAACAGUUCAUUAGUUUUAACAGUGAACACUGGGAACUGGAUUACCAUAGCCAGGUGUCAGCAGUGUUUAGGGGAAAGGAAAUACGUUCCUGAAUGCAGGUCACAGGACAGUGAGGAAACAGGUGAGGCUCACAUCACAUUUUGUAGAGAGUUGUUUAAACACUUUUGCAAUAUUCCACUAUCCCUUGAAUAACUUCAAAUAUACAGCCUUGGAAGAACCAGCUAACAUCGGGUUUUGCAGAAGGUCUGAGGAAGAACAAGCAGCAGCUACCCGAAGUGAGAAUGAUUAGAAGCUUAAAACCACAUUCAGUUUUCAUUCAACUCUGGCUGUGGCAAAAUUCAGCGUAAAUGGGUGGUUGAGCAAGUAAGGUGCAGAUUUCAACUGUCAACCCAGUGGCAGGGUCUCUGCACAGUGCCACAUGUACAGAUAUGUGGGAAAGCAGAUAAAGCUGAAACUCAGUCAUCUUUCACAUGUAUUUCUCUAUCAAGUCAAAACAUACACUCAGUAUCUCAAUCCAUAAUGAACCUCCAAUAUUGUAAAUUUACCAUAAGAGCUGCCUUUAUUGAAAUACCUCCAAAAUUUGUCACUAAAAAUAUGUAGUGGAUAAAGCUAUUUUAAAGAACUUGUGAUUUUCCUCCUGGUAUGUACUGUAAGUGAUUUCCGAGUCGAGCCUUUCUUAUAUAAAGACAUAUGUCUAAAAUGAAGCAUUUAUAUGGUAAAAUGAAAAAAGGAACUACUGUCUCAAAAAAUAAUACUUUUCAAGAACAUCCCUACUACACUCUCCUUCUCAUGAAGUGCUUUAAGCAAGCUCUAAAAAGCUGGAUGGGGACCUUGUCCACACACUUAUCUUGUACUCAGUCGGAACAAACACAAGAAUCCCAUCUCUUGUGCUUCAUGGUUAUUAUUUUCAUAUCACACUAACCUCCUUGGUAGAAAGCUUAACAACUGCUCAUGAUCAAAUAACCCAACCAGGCAAAAGCUUUGGUCUUCCACAGCUAUCAUAACCAAAAAACCCCAAACUCUUGGUUGACUUGGAUCAAAAAAUCUCUCCAAAAAAUCUCCAAACAGAAAACAUACCUCAGAAACAUCUCAGCAGUGUUUUCCCUGCCAUUGUCUUUGUGGAGGACCAGUGCACCUACAUCACACUGAGCAAUCAUCUACGAAUAGAUGGUCCUAUCCAGACCUGCCAGGAACACCAGGACUUUGUACAACAUUGUGCAGUGGAGAAUUGCUCUUUAUAAAGCAUGUGACAAUGUUUCAAAAAGCCAAAAUUGUCCAGCGCUAUGCCACUAACUUGUGCAUUGUAUCAAUUUUUUCUUUUUUUUUUUUUUUUUUUUUUUUUAACCUGUUGUUUCUUUGUUAUGCUGCAUAGAGGAAUGCUUGACUUGUCAGGCUGGAGGAGUGUUUUGGCUUAUGGUGCUUAGUGCCAUGGUGGCAGCAACUGCUUCAGGCAAGGUUUGAUGGAGUUUUGUUCUAGUUUUUCCACUCCGUAGGCUGGCAUUGACACUAAAAAAUAGCCACCUGUGUACUUUCCAAAAAUCCUGUUUAAUAUUUACCAUUCAGACUCAUCACAUGCCUGCUGUUCUUUUUGCAACUUAACCUCUUCUGGGUCAUCAAUGCUGACCUCAAGGAUAUCUGGUGAAGAGUAGGCUGGACAGCAGCUUGUUUCUUGCCGUUAAGUCUUAAACUGUCCACUCUCCACAGGCUUUUUGUUGGUUUCCUUGCUACCAUUAUUUCAAGACUUCUGUCUGCCUGCCUAUAUAUACCUAUGGCCUACACCCCUUGUAGUAUCCAACUGCCAACCAGUUCUUCACUAUAACUUCUGUACUAAUCACAGAAUUGCAGAGUGGUUGAGGUUGGAAGGGAUCUCUGGAGGUCAUCUUGUCCAAACCACUGCACAAGCAGGGUCACCUAGAGCUGGUUGCCCAGGACUGUGUCUGGACAGUUUUUAAGCAUCUCUAAAGAGGGAGUGAAAACAAGUAUUAUUAUUCCCAUUGUGCAGAUAAAGAAAGAAACAAAAAGAUUAAGGGUUUGCCAAGGAAGUUAAGGAACCGCAACUAUAAUUUUGAUUCACACUACGCCUUACUUGACAUUGUUAGGUACUUCAGAGACUAUUCAAGCCUGCUGGUAGUACAGGUUGAAUUAAGAAGAUAAAAGGCUGAAAAAACAAAUCUAGGAAGCAGUGUAAUGGUGGUAACUCAAGUAAGUAUCAGUUUUAUUUAAACAGCACUUUAUUAUUUUUUUUUUAUGGGUAGAAAGUAGCUAAAUUUAAAAAACCCUGAUGACCUAAAAGAAAAAAAAAUAGCCAGGGGAAACAAAAAGAAAGUGAAGAUCUGAAAGGGGGAAAGGUUGAAGAUGAACAGGUGUUAGUGCAAGACUCAAGGAGAUGCAAAAUCUAGCCUGCCCACCUAUGCAGACUUUUUAGUCUCACAAAGUCCAACAGUUGAGGUUUGGCCAAAGCAUACUGCCUGCAGUAGCAACAAGGCUUGACCUAAGCCUGCUAGAACAAGGCCAGUCCACCAAGAUCCUUAGCUGGAAAAGGGAGGGCAGAGGGAGGCUGAAGAGUAGGGGCUGUAAGGCGUCAGUUCUUUGCGGGAUGAGGUGCUGUGCUGGCACAUGAACUGGCUGAGGCUACUGCUGUGCCGGCUCCCUUUGUGGGUUGCGCUGGGUGCCCCAGGCAUUUCUUUCUCAGGAUCACUGCUGAAACUCCAGUCAUUCAUUCUUAGGUUCUGAUCCUGAAUGUUUAAAAACGUCAUGUAGAUGUAUUUUUUAAACUAGUAUCUAUGGGUCUCCUUUUUUUUAGUGACUAUUCAGCCUCCAGUUCUACUGUCCAUCUGUGACGGAUUUUCUACUCCUUCUGCUCCUCCUGAGCAGCAGGGUACCACAUCAGCUGUUAACUCAUGGGAACAUCCCAAUUCUCUUCCUUUCUUGCAACACCUGAGCCCGCGGCGAGGCUGGGCAGCCCGCGGCGAGGCCCCGGCGGGAGGCAGGAGGGGCAGCGGAGGAGGAGAAGGGGCAUUAAGCUCACGCUCGAGUCGCCGAGGCCAGCGCGCGGCAAGGCCGGGCUGGGCGGGCCGCCCGCCUCCCUCAGCCGCCCCCCGGGCGGUGCCGCCGCGCCGCGGCCGCCGGCCGGUCGGGACGAGGCGAGGCAAGAUGGCGGCGGGCCUGGCGGGGAGGAGCUCGAGGAGCAGCAGAAGAAUCGGCGUGUGCCGCGUGUGCAGUGCUGAAAUACCACCGAGACCCUUCAGCGCAAACGGAUGAGAGUGGUCGGUGCCCUGCUACACUGUAGGGCUGUACCAAGAUCAAUGCGAGCUGUGCCACGGAAGCAGGCAGCAUCAAGAGAUAAUGGGAUUUGUCACACCAAUGCUAAACCGAGACUAAGCUUCAACCUUUCAUAUGGAACUUUUUGCUGAAAGAGGAAGCUGCAGUACUGAAAGCAGUUCAGUGCUUGAUUGCAUGAGACCAUGCCUCUCACAGAAAGUGAAUGAUGUCUUACUUCAAACACUUUAUGCAAUGCAAACUUAGUUAUAUCCUUUCAAGUUUUGUUUUUGCAAGGCAACAAUAAACCAGUGAUUGACUUUU